GUCGAACGAUGAAGCCUAGCUUGCUAGGUGGAUUAGUGGCGCACCGGUGAGUAAUAUAUAGAUAACGUGCCUCUUAGUCUGGGAUAGCCAUUGGAAACGAUGAUUAAUACUGGAUACUCCUUCUCUUUAUAAUAAGAGUUGGGAAAGUUUUUCGCUAANAGAUCGGUCUAUNUCCCAUCAGCUUGUUGGUAGUGUAAGAGACUACCAAGGCAAUGACGGGUAGCGGGUUUGAGAGGAUGAUCCGCCACACUGGUACUGAGACACGGACCAGACUCCUACGGGAGGCAGCAGUGAGGAAUAUUGCACAAUGGAGGAAACUCASAUGCAGCAACGCCCCGUGGAGGAUGACUCAUUUCGGUGUGUAAACUCCUUUUCAUASGUCAAGAAAAUGGCCGGUAGCCUAUGAAUAAGCACCGGCUACUCCGUGCCAGCAAGCCG
rnacentral:rRNA from 1 species